GGGUGCAUGGUCUAGUGGUAUGAUUUUCGCUUCGCAUUUGACUUUCCAAUGCGCCUUGUGAAAGGUCCCCGGUUCAAUCCCGGGUGCAUCCA